GACGAACGCUGGCGGCGUGCUUAACACAUGCAAGUCGAACGGAAAGGCCCUGCUUUUGUGGGGUGCUCGAGUGGCGAACGGGUGAGUAACACGUGAGUAACCUGCCCUUGACUUUGGGAUAACUUCAGGAAACUGGGGCUAAUACCGGAUAGGAGCUCCUGCUGCAUGGUGGGGGUUGGAAAGUUUCGGCGGUUGGGGAUGGACUCGCGGCUUAUCAGCUUGUUGGUGGGGUAGUGGCUUACCAAGGCUUUGACGGGUAGCCGGCCUGAGAGGGUGACCGGCCACAUUGGGACUGAGAUAAGGCCCAGACUCCUACGGGAGGCAGCAGUGGGGAAUAUUGCACAAUGGGAGGAAGCCUGAUGCAGCAACGCCGCGUGCGGGAUGACGGCCUUCGGGUUGUAAACCGCUUUCGCCUGUGACGAAGCGUGAGUGACGGUAAUGGGUAAAGAAGCACCGGCUAACUACGUG
rnacentral:rRNA from 1 species